rnacentral:lncRNA from 1 species
CUGAGCCCAGCAUAGCACCAGGACUUGCCCAGGAAUUGCAGUCCUCGUGGCCUAGAGUGCCUUUCAAGUUUAUUUAGGAUCCUAGAGUACUUUAACCUAUGGUGGUGGAGCUUGCCAGAGUUCAGUUUCUGUCUGCUGGGAUGGACAAUUCCCCUCUGGCUAGGGCUCAUCUAAAUGUUCCCUCUGUGGGUGCUGGCUGAAUUUUUCCUUGUUUUGUUUUCCACUGUGAUAGGGCAGAAGUGAGAUCCAAUGCAAAGUCCCACAAUCGCUGCGUAGUCCCUCCCCAAGUGCACAGAUUUUCUCUCCAUGCCACAUGGCCACUGCUGGAGGAUGGGUGGGGGGGUGACAUAAGUGAUUCAAGACUGUCUUUCUUACCCCCUUCUGUAUCUCUUUUCUUAAUAUGAUGUUAAAUCCAGGUACUACGAUUACUCCCCUAAUUUUUGGUUCUUAUGAAGGUGCUUUUUUGUGUGGAUAGUUGUUGAAUUUGGUGUUCCUGUUGCGGAGACCAUCGCUGGAGGGUUCUAUUCGGCCGUCUUGCUCCAUCUCCUGAAGCCUGACUUUUUUGAGCAUGCCCUAACAGUAUGUCCAUAUUUGUUUAAAUUGUUAUGACAUCUAAAUAGUUUUCAACUGAGGUCAAAUAUUUUUAAGGAUAAGCUGGUCUGUAAUGACUAGAGUGGCCACAUAGUUCAUCACUCAAAUCUGAACAGUAUCAAAGGUGAAAAGAGGCACUAACUGGGUAUGAUGCUGGGGCCACAGAUGUCAGACCGAACAAUAAUUUCUCCAACAAAGCAAAUGAGAAUCUCCUGCAAAAGUCCUGGAAUCAUGUCCUUUGAUUUGCCUUUGGAGAGGAAAGACAAAGCAGAGUAGAGAAAGAAAAAUGGAGAGGCAGGAAGAAAAAGAGAAAGGAGAAGAGGCAAAGUGAGAGGAGACAAGAAAAGGGCUGGACUCAUUUUAGCAUGAUAUCUGAUUGAUGAAGUCCUAGUUUCUAAAAUACAACAACUGGGGCCCUCCAAGAAGACUAAGAACGGAGAAUGAACCAAAGAAUCGAAGCUAAAGGAAGCCAAAAGAUUGAACACCCCUGUCGUAGAUGGUAAUGAGUCCUGGAUGAAAAAGCCUGCACCCAGCUCUCUUCCUG